rnacentral:rRNA from 1 species
GACGAACGCUGGCGGCGUGCUUAACACAUGCAAGUCGAACGAUGAACCCGGAGCUUGCUCCGGUGGAUUAGUGGCGAACGGGUGAGUAACACGUGAGUAACCUGCCCUUGACUCUGGGAUAACUGCGGGAAACUGUAGCUAAUACCGGAUACGACCCUCGGCGGCAUCGCCAGGGGGUGGAAAGAAUUUCGGUCAAGGAUGAGCUCGCGGCCCAUCAGCUAGUUGGUGAGGUAAUGGCUCACCAAGGCGACGAUGGGUAGCCGGCCCGAGAGGGUGAACGGCCACACUGGGACUGAGACACGGCCCAGACUCCUACGGGAGGCAGCAGUGGGGAAUAUUGCACAAUGGGCGCAAGCCUGAUGCAGCAACGCCGCGUGAGGGAUGAAGGCCUUCGGGUUGUAAACCUCUUUUAGUUGGGAAGAAGCGAAAGUGACGGUACCAACAGAAAAAGCACCGGCUAACUACGUGCCAGCCGCCGCAGUAA